AUUGAACGCUGGCGGCAGGCCUAACACAUGCAAGUCGGGCGAGCGGCGGACGGGUGAGUAAUGUGUGGGGACGGCCCGAUGGCGGGGGAUAACUACUGGAAACGGUAGCUAAUACCGCAUACCAUCAUAUAACCCCUAUGGGAUGAGCUAGUUGGUGAGGUAAUGGCUCACAAAGGCGAUGAUCCCUAACUGGUCUGAGAUGAUGAUCAGCCACACUGGGAUUGAGACACGGCCCAGAAACCUACGGAGGCAGCAGGGGGAAUUAUUGCACAAAGGGCGCAAGCCUGAUGCAGCCAUGCCGGGUGUAUGAAGAGGGCCCUAGGGUUGUAAAGUACUUUCAGUCGGGAGGCGUUACCGACAGAAGAAGCAGCGGCUAACUCCGUGCCAGAAGCGGCGGUAAUAC
rnacentral:rRNA from 1 species